rnacentral:lncRNA from 1 species
AUGCUGAGCCAUCGCAAAGCUGGAAAAUCCCCCCCGCCGCCCCAAAAGCCCCAAACGGAGAUUCUUUGCUCCCGGUGUGCUCGGGGGCAGCUUCAGGUGUGGGGUGAGGAGGGCGAAAAGAGCCCGAAAGAAGCCGCGCGCGCUUUAAGCGCGGCUCAUGUCCCACUUAAGCGCGGGCUGGGGCUUUGCCCACCUGUUUGCCGGGGCAGGAGCGCGGGCAGCGCUGCUGGGCUGUCGGGGCGCACGGCAGCGCGGAGCGAGCGAGAAGCGGAGAGAAGCUCCUUGCCCCACCCCACGAAGGCCCUCUCGGGGUCCCCGUCCCCCCUCACCUGGGCGGUUGGCGCGGCCGGGAGCGGCAGCAGCAGCGGCAGCAGCAGCAGCAGCGGCGGGAGGCGGCCCCGCGCCCCCCACGGCCCCGCCAUGGUGCGGUGCGGCCCCGCCGCUCUCCGAGACCGGCUGCCCCGCGCUCUCCCCGCCCCGCCCGCGCCGCCCCCGCGCUGCCCCGUGCAGGGGACGCGGCGCUUCCCCGCCCCGGCGCCGGCCGGCCCCGCGCAUCCCCCGGGACACCGGCCGGACUCUGUGGGCAUCCACUGCCCGGGACACCGGCCGGGCUCUGUGGGCAUCCAUCCCCAGCGGUUGAGGUGCGGGAGCGUAGCUUUUCCCCCAGCAAAGCUGUUUCUUGUACAGCCGCGAGCGGACACCGUGCAGGAGCCCGUCAGGCCCCGCGCUCCGGCGGGGCCGGGACCACCCACGCCAGGCAGGGAAACCCUUUCCCAGCCCUGCACACCCUCCCCAGCUCGGUACCCCGUUUUCCAGCUCCUGCACCCCAUCUCAGUCACUGAAUCUAUUUCCCGAAUCCCAAAAUGCCUUAUCCAGCUCCUGCAACCCCCCACCCCAAGUUCGAUACCCCCUUCUCCAACUCCUGCACACCCUCCCCAGCCCGGUCCCCCCAUUUCCAGCCCGGUCUCCCCCAAGGAGAGGCAAGAGGGGCUGAGUCCGGUUCUGGUUGCUGCCAAGCAGCCCCAGCUAUGGAAGCAGCAGAAUUCCCCCCAAAAGGAGAAGGGGCAGCAGGGAAGGGCCAGGCUAUGGCUGGGGGGCUCCAGCCCUCCCAGGACCCCCUCAGGCUCCUGUUUCACUGCUGCUGUAGCUGGAGUGAUGGCUCCUCAGCACGCGGAUGGGAUGGAUGGAAACCCAUCAGGGAGAAGGGAGUGUGGGAGCACCCACUGUUCCCAUUGGGGCUCCCGUUGCUGUUUUCCAUGGGGAUCUCUUGCAGCGUGA